GAUGAACGCUGGCUGUGUGCCUAAUACAUGCAUGUCGAGCGAAGCACUUUUGUGCUUAGCGGCGAAUGGGUGAGUAACACGUACUUAACCUACCCUCAAAGAUUGGGACAACACUUGGAAAACGAGUGCUAAUACCAAAUACGUAUUUUUAUCGCAUGAUAGAUAUAUAAAAGGAGCUUCGGCUUCACUAGAGGAUGGGAGUGCGCUACAUUAGUUAGUUGGUAGGGUAAUGGCCUACCAAGACUAUGAUGUAUAGCGGGGCCGAGAGGCUGAUCCGCCACACUGGGACUGAGAUACGGCCCAGACUCCUACGGGAGGCAGCAGUAGGGAAUUUUCCACAAUGAACGAAAGUUUGAUGGAGCGACACAGCGUGCAGGAUGAAGGUCUUCGGAUUGUAAACUGCUGUUAUAAGAGAAGAAAAACCCUGGUAGGUAAUGACCAGGACUUGACGGUACCUUAUCAGAAAGCGACGGCUAACUAUGUGCCAGCAGCCGCGGUAAUACAUAGGUCGCAAGCGUUAUCCGGAAUUAUUGGGCGUAAAGAGUUCGUAGGUGGUUUUGUAAGUCUGAAGUUAAAUACCGGGGCUCAACCCCGGCCCGCUUUGGAUACUGCAAAACUAGAGUAAUAGAGAGGUUAGUGGAACUCCAAGUGAAGCGGUGGAAUGCGUAGAUAUUUGGAAGAACACCAAUGGCGAAGGCAACUAACUGGAUAUUAACUGACACUGAGGAACGAAAGCGUGGGUAGCAAACAGG
rnacentral:rRNA from 1 species